CCUACGGGAGGCAGCAGUGGGGAAUAUUGGACAAUGGACCAAAAGUCUGAUCCAGCAAUUCUGUGUGCACGAUGACGGUCUUCGGAUUGUAAAGUGCUUUCAGUUGGGAAGAAAAAAAUGACGGUACCAACAGAAGAAGCGACGGCUAAAUACGUGCCAGCAGCCGCGGUAAU
rnacentral:rRNA from 1 species